CUAACAUGGGCCCUGUAGCUGCUUAAUCUGCACAGCCAUUGAUUCUGUUUCACUAAUUGCUUUUGAUCUGCCAGUGGGGAGUGGGAAACACCCGCAGUUAAUACCUUCGGGUUUGUUUGAGGUGGAGAAAGGAAGGUCCAGAAGUGUCUUUGCAACAAACAAGGUCACUGCUGACCCACAGAGUGUCCGGACGCCAGGAGACCCUCACCAAAGUGUUGACUCCUCUCCUCUGUCACCUUUCAUGCUUGACCACCUCCACCUGUCACAUUUCAGGGUGAGACACAUGAUGCGACAGCAGGAACAGAGAAGCAGAGAUCAGGUUCCCAGGCUUGGGAGGCGACGUCGUGAGCAAACAGGCCGCCCCAUCCAUCAGCAGAGUGGCACUGGCUGUUCCGGUCACUGUGGCUGACAGCAGGACACUGCCGAGUGGAGGGCGGCCGGGGAGAAGAGGAGCCUUCUCUUCACGUCAGAAGCGGAGCCUUGCGGUUUUGUGGCAGGUUCCCAAGCCUGCAGCCUGUGGCCUCGGAGCCGCAGGUAGAGGAGCCUGGCAUUUCCCAGGGAGACGCCAGGGCCAGGAACCAGUUCGGCUGUUCCCAGCAGACUCAGACUCCAAAACCAUCUUGGCG
rnacentral:lncRNA from 1 species